AACUUUUUGUACAAAAUGCCACUUAUCAAUUGUAUUUUGGUUGAUAUACAAUAUCUUCAAUGUUCACAAAUAACAAUGGCCGACAGUAAGAGCAAAUGUGUGCUGCCAUACUUCUCGAAGCUAUAAAAUACAACUAUAAACCAUA